rnacentral:snoRNA from 1 species
GGAUAUAGCCUCCCAUACACCACCAGCAACCCUUGGAUAGGUUAAACAAAAUGAAAUGAGAACCCCCUCCGUGUAUUUAAUCGGUUCAGAGGUCC